GUGUGUGUGUCUGUGUGUUAGUGUCAUGUGAACAUCCUGUCCUGGUCUAACCCGUCCCACGUGUCCUCUGAUUGGUCCUCAGCCUGUAACCCCAACGCGUGCCGCGCGGUGGGCAGAGGUCUGCAGCCCAAGGGCCUGAGGGUCCGAGAGGGGGCCGAUUUCAGGGUCUACACCAGGGGGGCCGGCAGCGGAGACCUUCAGGUCACCGUGAGGGGACCAAAGGGCGUGGAGGAGCCGGUGAAGGUCAUCGCCGGGGACAACGGGACGUUCGAGUGUAAUUAUUACCCAAUCACAAUGGGACAAUACAUCGUCUCCGUCACCUGGGGAGGACACAGCGUCCCCCGCAGUCCCUUUGAGGUACAGGUGAGCGAGGAGGCGGGGCCCCAGAAGGUUCGGGCCUGGGGCCCCGGUCUGGAGACGGGGG